rnacentral:lncRNA from 1 species
UCUGGUUGUACGGAGGUACAUAAAUUCAAUACCUUUUUCAGAUUCCCAGGCAUCAACUCCCAAAGUAAUUAUAAAGUGGACGUAAAAUUGCACUUUGAAUGUCAUCUUCAUUUUCCUCCAUUCUGUCUUCAUCUGUAUAGCUGCCCAAUUAGGCACAGCUCCCUGCACAGAAAGAUUUCUGUAAGUUUCUCAAACUCUGAAACCUCUCAGCAACAUUAGAAACAAGCAAAAAGCCAGUCAUUUGAGAUGUCUCCCUUAGCAAUUCUUGUCAAACUUAAAACCUAAAAGAGUUCUCUAGUAUAGCUUGAGAUGAAUGGAAGGGCUUCU